AUUGAACGCUGCGGCAGGCUUAACACAUGCAAGUCGAACGGUAACAUAAAGAAGCUUGCUUCUUUGAUGACGAGUGGCGGACGGGUGAGUAAUGCUUGGGAAUCUAGCUUAUGGAGGGGGAUAACUACGGGAAACUGUAGCUAAUACCGCGUAGAAUCGAGAGAUGAAAGUGUGGGACCUUCGGGCCACAUGCCAUAGGAUGAGCCCAAGUGGGAUUAGGUAGUUGGUGAGGUAAAGGCUCACCAAGCCGACGAUCUCUAGCUGGUCUGAGAGGAUGACCAGCCACACUGGGACUGAGACACGGCCCAGACUCCUACGGGAGGCAGCAGUGGGGAAUAUUGCGCAAUGGGGGCAACCCUGACGCAGCCAUGCCGCGUGAAUGAAGAAGGCCUUCGGGUUGUAAAGUUCUUUCGGUAGCGAGGAAGGCAUUUAGUUUAAUAAACUAGGUGAUUGACGUUAACUACAGAAGAAGCACCGGCUAA
rnacentral:rRNA from 1 species